UCCUGGCUCAGAUUGAACGCUGGCGGCAUGCCUUACACAUGCAAGUCGAACGGCAGCGGACCUUCGGGUGCCGGCGAGUGGCGAACGGGUGAGUAAUAUGUCGGAACGUACCUUUCAGUGGGGGAUAACGUAGCGAAAGUUACGCUAAUACCGCAUAUUCUGUGAGCAGGAAAGCAGGGGAUCGCAAGACCUUGCGCUGAUUGAGCGGCCGAUAUCAGAUUAGCUAGUUGGUGAGGUAAAGGCUCACCAAGGCGACGAUCUGUAGCGGGUCUGAGAGGAUGAUCCGCCACACUGGAACUGAGACACGGUCCAGACUCCUACGGGAGGCAGCAGUGGGGAAUUUUGGACAAUGGGCGCAAGCCUGAUCCAGCCAUGCCGCGUGAGUGAAGAAGGCCUUCGGGUUGUAAAGCUCUUUCGGCCGGGAAGAAAUCGCACAGGUUAAUACCCUGUGUGGAUGACGGUACCGGAAUAAGAAGCACCGGCUAACUACGUG
rnacentral:rRNA from 1 species